rnacentral:rRNA from 1 species
UUAUAAGAGACAGCAGUCGCCACGGGAAUACAGAGGGUGCGAGCGUUAAUCGGAUUUACUGGGCGUAAAGCGUGCGUAGGCGGCUUCUUAAGUCGGAUGUGAAAUCCCUGAGCUUAACUUAGGAAUUGCAUUUGAUACUGGGAAGCUAGAGUAUGGGAGAGGAUGGUAGAAUUCCAGGUGUAGCGGUGAAAUGCGUAGAGAUCUGGAGGAAUACCGAUGGCGAAGGCAGCCAUCUGGCCUAAUACUGACGCUGAGGUACGAAAGCAUGGGGAGCAAACAGGAUUAGAUACCCGCGUAGUCCCUGUCUCUUAUAC